GAUGAACGCUGGCGGCGUGCCUAAUACAUGCAAGUCGAGCGAACAGACGAGGAGCUUGCUCCUCUGACGUUAGCGGCGGACGGGUGAGUAACACGUGGAUAACCUACCUAUAAGACUGGGAUAACUUCGGGAAACCGGAGCUAAUACCGGAUAAUAUAUUGAACCGCAUGGUUCAAUAGUGAAAGACGGUUUUGCUGUCACUUAUAGAUGGAUCCGCGCCGCAUUAGCUAGUUGGUAAGGUAACGGCUUACCAAGGCAACGAUGCGUAGCCGACCUGAGAGGGUGAUCGGCCACACUGGAACUGAGACACGGUCCAGACUCCUACGGGAGGCAGCAGUAGGGAAUCUUCCGCAAUGGGCGAAAGCCUGACGGAGCAACGCCGCGUGAGGGAUGAAGGUCUUCGGAUCGUAAAACUCUGUUAUUAGGGAAGAACAAAUGUGUAAGUAACUAUGCACGUCUUGACGGUACCGAAUCAGAAAGCCACGGCUAACUACG
rnacentral:rRNA from 1 species